rnacentral:lncRNA from 1 species
AGGAAUCCUGAGGUGAGGAGAGAAGGAAGGAAUCCUGAGGUGAGAGAAGGAAGGAAUCCUGAGGUGAGGAGAGAAGGAAGGAAUCCUGAGGUGAGCAGAGAAGGAAGGAAUCCUGAGGUGAGGAGAGAAGGAAGGAAUCCUGACGUGAGCAGAGAAGGAAGGAAUCCUGAGGUGAGAGAAGGAAGGAAUCCUGAGGUGAGAGAAGGAAGGAAUCCCGAGGUGAGCAGAGAAGGAAGGAAUCCCGAGGUGAGCAGAGAAGGAAGGAAUCCCGAGGUGAGAGAAGGAAGGAAUCCUGAGGUGAGGAGAGAAGGAAGGAAUCCUGACGUGAGCAGAGAAGGAAGGAAUCCUGAGGUGAGAGAAGGAAGGAAUCCUGAGGUGAGCAGAGAAGGAAGGAAUCCUGAGGUGAGCAGAGAAGGAAGGAAUCCCGAGGUGAGAGAAGGAAGGAAUCCUGAGGUGAGAAGGAAGGAAUCCCGAGGUGAGCAGAGAAGGAAGGAAUCCUGAGGUGAGAGAAGGAAGGAAUCCCGAGGUGAGAGAAGGAAGGAAUCCCGAGGUGAGCAGAGAAGGAAGGAAUCCCGAGGUGAGAGAAGGAAGGAAUCCCGAGGUGAGAGAAGGAAGGAAUC